CUACAUCCCUCCUCAGAAGCCCCCAGAGCACAGCUCCUCACCAUGGACUGGACCUGGACGAUCCUCUUUUUGGUGGCAGCAGCCACAGGUGCCCACUCCCAGGUCCAGCUGGUGCAGUCUGGGGCUGAGGUGAAGAAGCCUGGGGCCUCAGUGAAGGUUUCCUGCAAGGCUUCUGGAUACAUCUUCACUGGCUAUGCUAUGCAUUGGGUGCGCCAGGCCCCUGGACAAAGGCUUGAGUGGAUGGGAUGGAUCAACACUGGCAAUGGUAACACAAAAUAUUCACAGAAGUUCCAGGGCAGAGUCUCCAUUACCAGGGACACAUCCGCGAGCACAGCCUACAUGGAGCUGAGCAGCCUGAGAUCUGAGGACACGGCUGUAUAUUACUGUGCGAGAGACACAGUGUGAAAACCCACAUCCUGAGAGUGUCAGAAACCCCAGGGGGGAAGCAGCUGUGCUGGCAUG